rnacentral:rRNA from 1 species
CCUACGGGUGGCAGCAGUGAGGAAUAUUGGUCAAUGGACGAGAGUCUGAACCAGCCAAGUAGCGUGAAGGAUGACUGCCCUAUGGGUUGUAAACUUCUUUUGUAUGGGAGUAAAAUGUUCCACGUGUGGGAUUUGGUAUGUACCAUAUGAAUAAGCAUCGGCUAACUCCGUGCCAGCAGUCGCGGUAAUACGGAGGAUCCGAGCGUUAUCCGGAUUUAUUGGGUUUAAAGGGAGCGUAGGUGGAUUGUUAAGUCAGUUGUGAAAGUUUGGGGCUCAACCGUGAAAUUGCAGUUGAAACUGGCAGUCUUGAGUACGGUAGAGGUGGGCGGAAUUCGUGGUGUAGCGGUGAAAUGCUUAGAUAUCACGAAGAACUCCGAUUGCGAAGGCAGCGCACUGGACUGCAACUGACACUGAGGCUCGAAGGUGUGGGUAUCAAACAGGAUUAGAUACCCGAGUAGUC